GUAUCCUUUUAAUGAAGGAAGAAGAGGUAGAGAAAAAAGAAAAUCCUUGAGGGACAAGCAGUAUUGAAGACCUAACAUUUCACAGCUGCUGUGAUGUUUGAAAAUUUAUGUGAAGUCUUUAUUUUGAUGCAACAAUUUAAUUGUGGCCUAGAGCUGAGAUUUGCAUCUCUAAGGCUAUUCAAUGUAGAGUUACAACGAUAAGGGAGAAGGUGGGCAAAGAAUUCAAGAAGAAAUAAGACCGAAACCAAAGAACUUUUGAAUUUGUCAGCAUUACUCUGGUAAGAGUAAUGCAGUCCAGAAGCUUAAAGACAUUUUUGGAUGACUGGUUCAAAGAUAUUAGAUGAUGUUUA
rnacentral:lncRNA from 10 species